rnacentral:rRNA from 1 species
AGUGAACGCUGGCGGUAGGCCUAACACAUGCAAGUCGAACGGCAGCACAGUAAGAGCUUGCUCUUACGGGUGGCGAGUGGCGGACGGGUGAGGAAUACAUUGGAAUCUACUUUUUCGUGGGGGAUAACGUAGGGAAACUUACGCUAAUACCGCAUACGACCUACGGGUGAAAGCAGGGGAUCUUCGGACCUUGCGCGAUUGAAUGAGCCGAUGUCGGAUUAGCUAGUUGGCGGGGUAAAGGCCCACCAAGGCGACGAUCCGUAGCUGGUCUGAGAGGAUGAUCAGCCACACUGGAGCUGAGACACGGUCCAGACUCCUACGGGAGGCAGCAGUGGGGAAUAUUGGACAAUGGGCGCAAGCCUGAUCCAGCCAUACCGCGUGGGUGAAGAAGGCCUUCGGGUUGUAAAGCCCUUUUGUUGGGAAAGAAAAGCAGCAGGUUAAUACCCCGCUGUUCUGACGGUACCCAAAGAAUAAGCACCGGCUAACUUCGUG